rnacentral:ribozyme from 1 species
UGUCAAAGAAGAAAAAAAAAGCAGCAGAACGGAGAGCUGCUCAAGUCAACUGCUUUCUUCUUUUUUUUUUUUGUUGUUUUUUGAAUCCAAGGCAACAGAGAAACAAAAAACACAAGUGACAUCUUCCAUUGUCCGGUUUUUUUUUCGUGGUGACGUUUGUUAUUUUUGUUCUUGUUCUUGGAAGGAGGGGAGGGAAACGGUGGUGGAAGAAA